rnacentral:rRNA from 2 species
CCUUUUGUAUAAUGGGUCAGCGACUUAUAUUCUGUAGCAAGGUUAACCGAAUAGGGGAGCCGGAGGGAAACCGAGUCUUAAUUGGGCGUUAAGUUGCAGGGUAUAGACCCGAAACCCGGUGAUCUAGCCAUGGGCAGGUUGAAGGUUGGGUAACACUAACUGGAGGACCGAACCGACUAAUGUUGAAAAAUUAGCGGAUGACCUGUGGCUGGGGGUGAAAGGCCAAUCAAACCGGGAGAUAGCUGGUUCUCCCCGAAAGCUAUUUAGGUAGCGCCUCGUGAAUUCAUCUCCGGGGGUAGAGCACUGUUUCGGCUAGGGGGCCAUCCCGGCUUACCAACCCGAUGCAAACUGCGAAUACCGGAGAAUGUUAUCACGGGAGACACACGGCGGGUGCUAACGUCCGUCGUGAAGAGGGAAACAACCCAGACCGCCAGCUAAGGUCCCAAAGUCAUGGUUAAGUGGGAAACGAUGUGGGAAGGCCCAGACAGCCAGGAUGUUGGCUUAGAAGCAGCCAUCAUUUAAAGAAAGCGUAAUAGCUCACUGGUCGAGUCGGCCUGCGCGGAAGAUGUAACGGGGCUAAACCAUG